CAUAGGUAAAGGUUGAAUUAAUAUAAAAAGAAUCAAUAAAAGACAUAAUAUGGCGUGUAGACACGUAGGUCGUUGAUAAUAUAUAAUGCUUAACUCCCUCCGACCAAGAAGAACUUCAUUCAUUGUGUCACAUUUAAAGAUUUUCCCUCUUUACAUGUCAAACAUAGUAGGUAAAUAUUUUGUGUGGUACCAUGUAGUGGAAAUAUUGGAAACUGGCUGUGUUUUAAUUGAUCGUAAAUUUACAAUUGAUUGUAAAAUUGAAGGAAUAUUUGUUUGCCAACUGAAGUGAGGAGAGACAUGGUAG